GGCCAGGGGCUAAGUGGCAGAGCAUCUACUUUGAAUGCAGAAGGUCCCAGGUUCAAGCACCUGGUGGGGCUG